CAGAAUCCCCCCUANACGUAACGAUACCGUAGCGCCGUGGAGCUUCGGUUGGCCCCGGAUAGCCGGCCCCUCGGGGCCGGUGAGUAGAGCCGCUCGUGACAGGGCUGGGGUGCGGCAAGAUGGAAUGCCGCCCUCGCCUGAUGCGCACCGCAAGUCUGUGGAGAACCUGGUGCUAAAUAACUUGUAGACGACCUGAUUCUGGGUCAGGGUUUCGAGCG
rnacentral:rRNA from 1 species